AUGGUCGAGGCGGGGUCGCUGACCAAGGAGGUCAGCCGGAUCUCCCGUGCCGUCUGCCUCACCGUCGCCCUCCGUCGCCGCCUCGCCGCCCCUGAUGUCGCGGCCUUCCUCGCCUUCGCACUGCCCCCUUCAUUCGAGGCCUUCACCCGCCUCUCCCCGCUCCUCCCGAAGGAAGAUGGCAGUGAGAUGGAUGUUGAUGCUGCAGCUCCAGCGGCUCAAGUUUCAAUCAAGCAUGGACUCCCAGAGAUUGAAAUAUACUGAUACCUGCUUGUGUUGAUUUUCCUUAUAGAUCACAAGAAAUAUGAUGAGCACCGACAAUGUGCAAACGCUAGCAUUGCUCAUUUGAAGAAUCUCAACAGGAGGACUGUUGAUGUUUUGGCUUCUAGGUUAUAUUCGUAUUACUUGUAUGCCCAUGAACUCACCAACAACCUUGCUGAAAUUCAUGGGUGA
rnacentral:rRNA from 1 species